UAUAGUUGUGCUUAUGCUUAUGUGCAUGUGUAUACACACAUCUGUAUAUUUAAAGAAAGAAUACAUAAGAAGUAUACCCUCACCAUAACAAUACAUAAGCUUUAUCGGUGCUAUUUCUAAAGUUGGAAUUUUUCAGCGCUACUCCUCAAUGAGUUAUUGAGAAGGCACACAGUGAAAGAAAACACAGUUUCUGAAGAGGCCUAUUCUUCACAGCUGAUAUGUUUUGAAUGUUUAUCUUGUCUAAAUCCCAUGUUAAAAUGUGUUUCCCAGUGUUGGAGGUGGGACUUGGUGGGAGGUGAUUGCAUCAUGAUUGGGGGCGGAUCCCUCACAAACGGCUUAGCGUCAUCCCCUUGGUGAUGAGUGAGUUCUUGCUCAGUUCAUGUGAGAUCUGAUUGUUUAAACUGUCUGGAACCUCCUCCUCCUCUCUGUUGCUCCUGUUCUUGCCAUGCAACAUUCUGGCUCCCCUUUGGCUUCUGCUGCCCUUUUAAGCUUCCUGAGGCCCUCACCAGAAGCAGAGGCUGCCCUUGUGCUUCUUUUACAGCCUCCAGAACUGGCAUUGCAUUUAAUAGAUCACUGGAAGAAGAAUCCCCAUCUCAGACUCAUCUUUAGAAGACAGAGGUGUGUAAAGGAACCAAGGGACUGCAAAGACUCUUUCUACACAGAGGUCCGGGAGCUGGUGAACUUCCAGCAGGAGCAGGCGUUCAAGGACAAGACCCAUAUGCAGUGGCUCACCCUGCAGGCCCUAGAGGAAGAAGCUUCUCCAGGCUGAGGAGUCGUCUCCUGCCCUGGAGGGGAUCAGGGGAGUUGAGGAAAAAUGAGGCCAACUAAAGGCUGUUCCCACCAACCGAGGGAAGACGUGGGAGGACGUGCCUUCAAACACUCAGAUGCCUUAGAAAUGCUCCAGAAAAAGACGCAGGGAUUGGAUUCCAGGUUCCAGCACGUGGAAGAUGGAGUCUGUUCUGUGGAGAUGGCUUCUUUGCCCCAGGCUGAGAGCCUGCAGCGUCUUGUCCAAGAGUCAGUAGCCUGACUGCCCUACAGGGGCGCCUGGUGGCCCCGAGUCCCCGGACAAAGACAGGGAUGUCCUGGCAGUGCAGUGAGGAGCCUGGCCAGGCCCAGUUGGUGCUCCAGGGCACUGCAGAUGAGAUGAAGAGUGUGGGCAAGCUCCUGGCACCCACUGCCCAUCCAGGACCAAGCCCAGCAUGCCCGUCUGCUCCUUUAGGACUUCCUGGACAGCUGUUCUUGAGACAACCUGAAAUCCUCAGCCAGCCUAGUGCAAUUGGACUUGAAAAUGCUUAGGAAUGUCAGGGACAAGUUUGCUUGUGUACCCAGCCACAAGAGAAACCAAUGAGAACAGCCUGGAAUCAGCCAAGGGUUUACUAGAUGACCUGAAAAAUAAUCUGGUUGGGUUGUUUGUAAAGGUUGAAGAGAUCUAUGAAAAGGUCUCAGUGAAUUGUGUGCGCAGGGCACGGAUUUAAAAUACAAUUUCUCAUGAUCAUAAAAUGUGUUGUUUUCUCCCAUGUAGUCUCCCUCCUCAAUUCCUUAUUCCUUCUGAAAGAGUGGUAGAUACCAUCUGAGCAUCAAGGCUUAUAUUUUCUGCUCAAUUAAUUGAUUGGCUCCUUCUUCGGUGGUGCCUAUCCUUUCUUAGCCAACCUAAUAGCCUUGAGUUAGUUAUGUGAGCAACUGAGGGGAGGGGAAGUGGAGAGAAAUGCAACACACUUCACUGGUCCCACUUUGGUGGAAGUAUCACCUUGUAGGAGAAUCCCA